rnacentral:rRNA from 1 species
GCCAUCCUUUAAAGAAAGCGUAAUAGCUCACUAGUCGAGUCGGCCUGCGCGGAAGAUGUAACGGGGCUAAACGUAGAACCGAAGCUGCGGAUGCACUAUGUGCAUGGUAGAGGAGCGUUCUGUACGCCUGCGAAGGUGAGUCGAGAGGCUUGCUGGAGGUAUCAGAAGUGCGAAUGCUGACAUGAGUAACGACAAAGGGGGUGAAAAACCCCCUCGCCGGAAGACCAAGGUUUCCUGCCCCAUGCUAAUCAGGGCAGGGUUAGUCGGCCCCUAAGGUGAGGCUGAAAAGCGUAAUCGAUGGGAAACGGGUUAAUAUUCCCGUACUUGUUAUAACUGCGAUGGAGGGACGGAGUAGGCUAGGCGAUCGCGGCGUUGGUUGUCCGCGUUUAAGCUAGUAGGCUGAGGACUUAGGCAAAUCCGGGUCCUUAAGGCUGAGAGGUGAUGACGAGCUCUCUUUUGAGUGAAGUCGUUGAUGCCAUGCUUCCAAGAAAAUCUUCUAAGCUUCAGGUUAUAACGAACCGUACCCCAAACCGACACAGGUGGGCAGGUAGAAGAUACCAAGGCGCUUGAGGGAACUAUGUUGAAGGAACUCGGCAAAAUGCCUCCGUAACUUCGGGAUAAGGAGGACCUCCUUCCGGGCAACCGGUGGGGGGUGGCACAAAAUAGGGGGUAGCGACUGUUUACUAAAAACACAGGGCUCUGCGAAGUCGCAAGACGACGUAUAGGGUCUGACGCCUGCCCGGUGCCUGAAGGUUAAAAGGAGGGGUGAGAGCUCCGAAUUGAAGCCCAGGUAAACGGCGGCCGUAACUAUAACGGUCCUAAGGUAGCGAAAUUCCUUGUCGGGU